AGAGUUUGAUCCUGGCUCAGGAUGAACGCUAGCUACAGGCUUAACACAUGCAAGUCGUGGGGCAGCGGGUACUUAGCUUGCUAAGUAUGCCGGCGACCGGCGCACGGGUGAGUAACGCGUACCGAACCUGCCCAUCACACAGGGAUAGGCUUGCGAAAGCAAGAUUAAUACCUGAUGGUCUCAGUUGUAUGCAUGUAUGAUUGAGUAAAGCCUUCGGGCGGUGAUGGAUGGCGGUGCGUCCCAUUAGGAAGUUGGCGGGGUAACGGCCCACCAAUCCUUCGAUGGGUAGGGGUUCUGAGAGGAAGGUCCCCCACAUUGGAACUGAGAUACGGUCCAAACUCCUACGGGAGGCAGCAGUGAGGAAUAUUGGUCAAUGGGCGAGAGCCUGAACCAGCCAAGUAGCGUGCGGGAUGAAGGCCCUUGUGGUCGUAAACCGCUUUUAUCAGUGAAUAAAGUGCAUCACGUGUGGUGUCAUUGCAGGUAGCUGAAGAAAAAGGACCGGCUAAUUCCGUGCCAGCAGCCGCGGUAAUACGGAAGGUCCGGGCGUUAUCCGGAAUUAUUGGGUUUAAAGGGAGCGCAGGCGGGAGUGUAAGUCAGCUGUUAAAUAUCAGGGCCCAACUCUGUUAUGCAGUUGAAACUAUAUUUCUUGAGUACGCACAGGGAUGGCGGAAUUCAGGGUGUAGCGGUGAAAUGCUUAGAUAUCCUGAAGAACUCCGAUCGCGAAGGCAGCCAUCCGGAGCGUAACUGACGCUGAGGCUCGAAGGUGCGGGUAUCGAACAGGAUUAGAUACCCUGGUAGUCCGCACGGUAAACGAUGAAUACUCGCAGUUCGGCCGUUUAGGUCGAGUUGUCCAGCGAAAGCGUUAAGUAUUCCACCUGGGGAAUACGCCGGCAACGGUGAAACUCAAAGGAAUUGACGGGGGCCCGCACAAGCGGAGGAACAUGUGGGUUUAAUUCGAUGAUACGCGAGGAACCUUACCCGGGCUUGAA
rnacentral:rRNA from 1 species